UGUAUCUGAAGUCUGACGAGGAUGAGAACCUCCGGGGGCAAGAGGUUCGACUCGAGCGAAGCGAGAGAACGUUGCGUCAGCAACG
rnacentral:sRNA from 3 species